UACGUAGGUGGCAAGCGUUGUCCGGAAUUAUUGGGCGUAAAGCGCGUGCAGGCGGCCUCUUAAGUCUGAUGUGAAAGCCCCCGGCUCAACCGGGGAGGGCCAUUGGAAACUGGGAGGCUUGAGUAUAGGAGAGAAGAGUGGAAUUCCACGUGUAGCGGUGAAAUGCGUAGAGAUGUGGAGGAACACCAGUGGCGAAGGCGACUCUUUGGCCUAUAACUGACGCUGAGGCGCGAAAGCGUGGGGAGCAAACAGG
rnacentral:rRNA from 1 species